GCGUCGCCGCCCUUGACUCGGCGAGAAGUCCAUUGAACCUUAUCAUUUAGAGGAAGGAGAAGUCGUAACAAGGUUUCCGUAGGUGAACCUGCGGAAGGAUCAUUG
rnacentral:rRNA from 1 species